UACAGAGACUGCAAGCGUUAUUCGGAUUCACUGGGCGUAAAGGGCGCGCAGGCGGCCAAGUGUGUCAGGUGUGAAAUCCCGAGGCUUAACCUCGGAACUGCGCCUGAAACUACUUGGCUAGAGUACUGGAGAGGGUAACGGAAUUCACGGUGUAGCAGUGAAAUGCGUAGAUAUCGUGAGGAACACCAGAGGCGAAGGCGGUUACCUGGACAGUCACUGACGCUCAGGCACGAAAGCGUGGGGAGCAAAAGGG
rnacentral:rRNA from 1 species